rnacentral:rRNA from 1 species
UACGGAGGGGGCUAGCGUUGUUCGGAAUUACUGGGCGUAAAGCGCACGUAGGCGGACUGUUAAGUCGGGGGUGAAAUCCUGGGGCUCAACCUCAGAAUUGCCUCCGAUACUGGCAGUCUCGAGUGCGGGAGAGGUGAGUGGAAUUCCCAGUGAUAGAGGUGAAAUUCGUAAGAUAUUGGGAAGAACACCAGUGGGCGAAGGCGGCUCACUGGCCCGUAACUGACGCUGAGGUGCGAAAGCGUGGGGAGCAAACAGG